rnacentral:rRNA from 1 species
AGAGUUUGAUCAUGGCUCAGAACGAACGCUGGCGGCAGGCUUAACACAUGCAAGUCGAGCGCGUGUAGCAAUACACGAGCGGCGCACGGGUGAGUAACGCGUGGAUAUCUGCCUUUUGGUUCGGAAUAACCCCGGGAAACUGGGGCUAAUACCGGAUGGUUCCUACGGGAUAAAGAUUUAUCGCCAAAAGAUGAGUCCGCGUCCGAUUAGCUAGUUGGUGAGGUAACGGCUCACCAAGGCGACGAUCGGUAGCUGGUCUGAGAGGACGAUCAGCCACACUGGGACUGAGACACGGCCCAGACUCCUACGGGAGGCAGCAGUGGGGAAUAUUGGACAAUGGGGGCAACCCUGAUCCAGCCAUGCCGCGUGAGUGAUGAAGGCCUUCGGGUUGUAAAGCUCUUUUGGCGGGGACGAUGAUGACGGUACCCGCAGAAUAAGCCCCGGCUAACUUCGUGCCAGCAGCCGCGGUAAGACGAAGGGGGCUAGCGUUGUUCGGAAUUACUGGGCGUAAAGCGCGUGUAGGCGGUUGUCCAAGUUGGAUGUGAAAGCCUUGAGCUCAACUCAAGAAAUGCAUUCAGGACUGGAUGACUAGAGGACCGGAGAGGAUAGUGGAAUUCCCAGUGUAGUGGUGAAAUACGUAGAGAUUGGGAAGAACACCAGUGGCGAAGGCGGCUAUCUGGACGGUUUCUGACGCUAAGACGCGAAAGCGUGGGGAGCAAACAGGAUUAGAUACCCUAGUAGUCC